AGUUUAUAAAUUUUAAAACAAUUCAAACUAUUCAGAAUAAAUUACCAUUCAGUGAAGGGAGUAUAAUAAAAUGACUAAUCACACAUAUCAAUAUUCAACGACAACUUCAAACAAUAUUAUUUUAUUAUACUCUCAAGGGCUGGAACUUUAGUAAUUAAUCCUUUUACUAAAUGUUUAAGUCCUAUUUGUAAUUGAAUGGGACUUAUGAA
rnacentral:sRNA from 1 species